GUCAUUCAGAAUUAAAUUCAUGUAUAUUUUUUAAACUUUGAAUUAAGGUUUUUGUUUUAUAUUUAGGCUUUUCUUCUUUUGUUUUGUUGUCUGAUUUGAUUUGAACCUUUGACCUUGGAGUCAUUUUUUUUUUUUUAGUGGUAGGACUAUUAAUUCAGAACUUGAUGAACUUCUGUCUACUAGCUUGAUCAGUCGACGUAUACUCACCCCAUUGACUCUGUUUUGAUUUGGUCAAUAAACAUUGAAUAAAACUGACUUAUGUGUGUCUGUCGAUUUCUCCAGAGAAUCAAAUCUGAGAAACAUGUAGCACGCUAUUCCCCCUGAAAAAAGAGCAUAUACCAUGUGGUGGUCGCCAAAAGAAGUGGCGGUUCAGAAUAUAGGUACAACUAUCCAGUUAGAGAGAACCAGUAAGAGACAGGGAUACAAUUCACAUGUUAUCACCACACACACACAAACAGGAAGAGGAGACUAGUGGAAGUCCCCAGUGUUUUAAUGGUUAAAGAUGUGCUGAACCCCAGUCAGAGAGAGUCCAUGUUGGAAAGAUGCUGAACACCAGUCAGAGAGAGUCCAGAAGAAGAAUCCAUGUUGGAAAGAUGCUGAACACCAGUCAGAGAGAGUCCAGAAGAAGUGUCCAUGUUGGAAAGAUAUGCUGAACACCAGUCAGAGAGAGUCCAGAAGAAGAAGUGUCCAUGUUGGAAAGAUGUGCUGAACACCAGUCAGAGAGAGUCCAGAAGAAGAAGUGUCCAUGUUGGAAAGGGUCCAGAUGAGGAGGACAGGAGUUUCUACAGGUUGUCUCAACAUGCCCUCCUGGAGGCACUUCACGGGCAGACUGGGGGUCUCCAACCCCCCCCCCAGGUUAGGUAUUUCCCUUUCCCCAUUCAGACUUACCUUUAGACAGGUGUCAUGGGCU
ensembl:lncRNA